GUUGAAGGAUUUCUUACAUGUUUAUUUGUGACAUUGUUACCCAAUUAGCUGGUAGAAUAGUUUUCAGGUUACAUUGACAUGACAGCCAUCUCCUCCUCAAACAGUUGGCAGCAUCUUCACAACAUCAGCACAUAGAAUUUCAAUCACAAAACUUAACAGUGUAAUACUAAACCUUAGCCAAAGAACAUUUUCAUUAUAGAGUCUACAAUAACAAUACAAAUAUAUUCACACUAGUUAAAACAAACAAUUUACUAAAUAGCAAAACAAAAGAGAGAGACCUAUGUAC